UACGGAGGAGGCAAGCGUUAUCCGGAAUUAUUGGGCGUAAAGCGUCCGCAGGUGGCGAUUCAAGUCUGCGGUUAAAGACUGGGGCUUAACCCUGGAAAGGCCGUGGAAACUGAAACGCUAGAGUGCAGUAGGGGUAGAGGGAAUUCCCGGUGUAGCGGUGAAAUGCGUAGAGCUCGGGAAGAACACCGGUGGCGAAAGCGCUCUGCUGGACUGCAACUGACACUCAGGGACGAAAGCUAGGGGAGCGAAUGGG
rnacentral:rRNA from 1 species